rnacentral:lncRNA from 1 species
UUUGUAGUUAGAUGUUCAAAAUCCAGCUCCUAAAAAAAAUUGCCAUCUAAUCCUCAAGAUUCUUGAAGUCCACAAAUAUUCAUUUUUCCAAUGUAAAAAAAUUGCCUGGAUGCUUGAAGUUUUACCCUGGAUGAUAUGUCAUCUGAAAAAACCUCAGCAAUUAUUUCGCAUUAAGCCAUGUAAUGCUCUGUAAAGUGGUGUUUCCCAGCCUGGGACUCAACCUGGUGUGUAAAAAACUUUUUUGAGAAUAUUUAAAGAUACCGAAGCUGAAGCAAACGGAGGGAUCAAAGUUGUUUGAAAGGGAGCAAGUAUGGAAAAACAGAGAAGAAAGGAGAGAUCUCUAUUAGGUGUGCCUGCCUGGACCUGAGUGCUGCUGUUGCAGGGGUACCAGGGGUCUCCACUGCCUGUAUGCCUGCCUGGCCAGAUCCUGGAGAGAGCAAUGGGGACCAGAGGGACCACAAGGUACAAAACCAACUUAUAACUGGAGAUACCAAAGGAUGCAUUUGAAAACUAUACCCAACCCUCGGUAAGUGCGAGGAUGAUAUGCAUCCUCUCAGCGUAUGAAUUAUUUAUUUACAAUAUUGAUGCUUGAGAAAAUUAGAAAUCGGUACCCAUCAGAAGUGCAUAUAUGACAUAGUGUGAUAAAUGAGUGUUCUAAAGUGCUUUGCUUUCAUAAAGAAUUCUUAUAAAUCUUAAUGAAAUAUCG